rnacentral:rRNA from 1 species
UACAGAGGCCUCGAGCGUUAGGCGGAAUCACUGGGCUUAAAGCGUGUGUAGGCGGACUUCUAAGUACCUUGUGAAAUCCCACGGCUUACCCGUGGAACGGCUCGGUAUACUGGUUGUCUUGAGCCACCUAGGGGCGAGUGGAACAAAUGGUGGAGCGGUGAAAUGCGUAGAUAUCAUUUGGAACGCCAAUGGUGAAAACAACUCGCUGGGGGUGUGCUGACGCUGAGACACGAAAGCCAGGGGAGCGAACGGG